rnacentral:rRNA from 1 species
GAUGAACGCUGGCGGCGUGCCUAUACAUGCAAGUCGAGCGAACGGACGAGAAGCUUGCUUCUCUGAUGUUAGCGGCGGACGGGUGAGUAACACGUGGAUAACCUACCUAUAAGACUGGGAUAACUUCGGGAAACCGUAGCUAAUACCGGAUAAUAUUUUGAACCGCAUGGUUCAAAAGUGAAAGACGGUCUUGCUGUCACUUAUAGAUGGAUCCGCGCUGCAUUAGCUAGUUGGUAAGGUAACGGCUUACCAAGGCAACGAUGCAUAGCCGACCUGAGAGGGUGAUCGGCCACACUGGAACUGAGACACGGUCCAGACUCCUACGUGAGGCAGCAGUAGGGAAUCUUCCGCAAUGGGCGAAAGCCUGACGGAGCAACGCCGCGUGAGUGAUGAAGGUCUUCGGAUCGUAAAACUCUGUUAUUAGGGAAGAACAUAUGUGUAAGUAACUGUGCACAUCUUGACGGUACCUAAUCAGAAAGCCACGGCUAACUACGUG